ensembl:snoRNA
UGUUUAAUGAUUAAGGAAGGUCCCUGUCCCCAGCCAGGGGCUGUGGGUAACACCACAGCUGCCCCAGGGCUGGCCAAUUGGGCAGAUGUUCAGGGGCUGAGAACA